rnacentral:lncRNA from 1 species
CAGGAUAAGCUGCAGUGUUAGAGCUGCAGCUCUCCCCCACGUGGAUGUUUGUGGCCCAGAGACACGGGCCCAUCUUUAAGGCCCAGAGACACGGGCCCAUCUUUAAGGCCUAACUCCUGCUGAUCCUAAUGGGCCCGACAGUGGCAAACUGCUUGCACAGAAAUGCUCCUUCACAUUCGAACACUGGAUUCCCUCUAAUGAAAAACCACAUCAUGAAAUCUCUGAAAGGCCAAAAAAAAAAAAAAAUCAUAGCAUCACUGAUUUUCGUUAUAACUGUCACACCAUGGAUUCAGCUCCUUCAACCAUUUGUUAUAAGGCCUUCAACGCACCCUUUUCCCCACCACCGCUCGCUGACACGGGAACACGGUCACAGUACCCAGCGAUCUGCAAUACUCCUGGAUGCUCUUGUACCUGAAUGGUCUCAGUAUAUGAGAAAAGCAAAGCCUACACAACUUUACAUAUUAGGUUUCUGAAGCGUGUGAUGAAUGGGAUGCUGUGCAGCUGAAAGAGCACAAGUCUCAAAUGGCUCACGCGGGGUUCUCAUAGUGAACUGGCUGUGAGUUGCAGCUCUCUGACAAGGGGAAUGGUUGCUUUUCCCUCGGAGGAACACUGUAAGUCCUAAAUGCAA